UACGUAGGGUGCGAGCGUUGUCCGGAAUUAUUGGGCGUAAAGAGCUCGUAGGCGGUCUGUCGCGUCGAAUGUGAAAACCCGGGGCUCAACUCCGGGCUUGCAUUCGAUACGGGCAGGCUAGAGUUCGGUAGGGGAGUCUGGAAUUCCUGGUGUAGCGGUGAAAUGCGCAGAUAUCAGGAGGAACACCGGUGGCGAAGGCGGGACUCUGGGCAGAUACUGACGCUGAGGAGCGAAAGCGUGGGGAGCGAACAGG
rnacentral:rRNA from 1 species